AUUGAACGCUGGCGGCAGGCCUAACACAUGCAAGUCGAGCGGAUGAAGGGAGCUUGCUCCUGGAUUCAGCGGCGGACGGGUGAGUAAUGCCUAGGAAUCUGCCUGGUAGUGGGGGAUAACGUCCGGAAACGGGCGCUAAUACCGCAUACGUCCUGAGGGAGAAAGUGGGGGAUCUUCGGACCUCACGCUAUCAGAUGAGCCUAGGUCGGAUUAGCUAGUUGGUGGGGUAAAGGCCUACCAAGGCGACGAUCCGUAACUGGUCUGAGAGGAUGAUCAGUCACACUGGAACUGAGACACGGUCCAGACUCCUACGGGAGGCAGCAGUGGGGAAUAUUGGACAAUGGGCGAAAGCCUGAUCCAGCCAUGCCGCGGGUGUGAAGAAGGUCUUCGGAUUGUAAAGCACUUUAAGUUGGGAGGAAGGGCAGUAAGUUAAUACCUUGCUGUUUUGACGUUACCAACAGAAUAAGCACCGGCUAACUUCGC
rnacentral:rRNA from 1 species